rnacentral:misc_RNA from 1 species
AUGGAUAAAGAAUUUUUAAAAUUUUUAGUUAAAGAUGGCAUUUCUACAAAUAUUGGUCCCAAUACAAAAGAAAUUCUAUUGCAACAGGCGGAAAGUGAAUAUUGUAAUGGUAAUAUGAUUGCCUCAAUAUUUUAUCAAACUUAUUCCUUAUAUCAGUCCUCGCAAGAACGUUACAAUCAAAGUUCUGGAAAGUGUAAUGAAAAUAAAUCUGAAAGAGCUAACAAGGCCGAAGUGGAAACUUUAAUGGCUGAAAUGAAUGCCAAAGAAAUUUCCGAGUUUAGCAGCAAUUCUCUUAUGCAAUAUGUUAGUAAAUCACUUACAAAAAUGUCGCAAAAAUCUAAAAUAAAGCAGGCAUCUUUGCAAUCAUCUAAUAGUGUGGAAAGUUGCAAUUUUCUUAAAGAUAUUACAAGUCCUGCCGAGGGCAUAACAAAGUUAAUAGAAAUAUGUCAGAAAUUGCCGGAGGAAUGGACUAUUAUACAAUUAUGUAAAGGUCCCCGUGCAGAAACCACUUACUCCAUUUUCCCCAAAAUUCAUGAAAGUGAUGCCGCCAUAUAUAUGACCUUAAUAAAACAUGGCCGCAGUUCAGAAUAUAGUACGCCAAUAUGUUUACGUUUCUCUAGUGCCGAACAAAAGAAACUUUAUGAAAGUUUCGGCGGUAUAGUCAGUCGUUUUCAGCAAUGUGUUAAAAUUGAUCCCAAAGAAGUAAAUACCACCGAAGCUAAACGUUUUUAUUGGUCACUUUUAGAUGAACUUAAUCAAUUUAUAGCAACUACCUGUACGGAUUUGUGCAAUUUUUUCUAUCCCUGGAAUUUUUUAUUUACUGGUAUAGCAUAUUCUAAGCCUCAACAAAUCCUAGUACGUCAACGUUGGUCAAAGGUUGACGAAUUUUGUGAUAUGUAUGGUUGGGAGAGUGAUGCUAGAGUAUUGCUAUCUUUGGCUGCUUCUAAUGCAGAAUCUUUGGAUUUAGUACAAAUAGAGGAUAUUUGUUCUAUACUUACUACAAAUUCUAAGCAUCAUGCCAUUGCCUGUGAUAUGUUGAAAAAGAUGCAAACGGAAAAUGACAGAGGCAAUGGAAACAAAGUGCAACAUUUUCCUUGUAUUUUAAUUGUUGAUGAGCGCCUCGAUCAUUUCUUUUGGGAAGAAAUCAAUGUACAACAAGAGUUUACUCGAGUUAAUUCCAUACAAUGUCUAUAUCGCUUAUAUAAUUAUUAUAAAUCGGAAAUAAAACACGGUUAUUUAUGUGUCAAUAUAACAGAUGGUGGUUGUCUACUUAAUCCUGAUAAAAAUUUACCCAAAAUGGAGUCACGUAUGGUUAGUUUUUUUGAAUAUUGGACACCGCAUUGGACAAUGUUAGUGGGACAACGACCGACCCAAGAUGAACUCUUCAAUAAGUAUUUAAGUCGCAGUUGUUAUGUCUAUGCUGGUCAUGGUUCUGGUUUACAAUAUAUAAAUGGUCGCAAAAUUACCAAACAUCAAAUGCAUUGUGUGGUUUUUUUAUUUGGUUGUGAUUCCUCACGUCUACAUUCAAGUGGCCUGUAUAGUGAAUUAGUAGGACCUCAUUUGUACUAUCAGGCAGCAAUGUGUCCUGCGUUAGUUGGCACUUUGAUGCCUGGCCUAGAUUGUAAUAUGGAUAGGAUAGCCACGGAAAUACUUAGUCGUUGGAUUGUACCCAAAUCUACAAAUGUUUUGCCCUGGAAUGAAAUUGAUGAAAGAGCCUGGAUAAAAGAAUUUAUCAUUAAACCCAAAACUUGCAUGACUACGACAAAGUCUACUACUACAAUACCACCAUCUGUGGCCACCACACCCAAUUAUAAUGUGGGUAGUUUGUGUACCAUAUUAGCUAGAGUUCAUCAGCGUGUAUGUGAACCAAAACUCUAUAAUACUGUACCCUAUGUUUGUCGUGGUCUACCAGUCUGGAAUUGUAAUGUAGAACCACUAAAUACCUCGACAACUUGAAUUUAAAAUAAACAAAUUUCAGCCAAAAAAAAAAGAAGCUGUUAUAAAUGCUACAUAUUGCUGUUCAAACAUCAACAACAAUGUACGACAACAUAUUAUCAUACGUAUUAUUCGUAUUAUAUAUUCAUAUUCCUGUACAUACAACAAAUGCAGAUGAUGAUGAUGAUGAAACUACUUGAGAUGUGUAACCAUUUACACUAACACACUUAAAACUGUGAAUGGAUACAACAAUGACUACAACGACCAACAAACAUGAACCGGAGAUAACCUGAAACCCAAAAAAGGAAGACACAAGAAUCGAUACUUGCUUGUCAUCCAUCUAGGAACAAAAAAUAUUUUUUAUAUAAAAAAUAUAUAUAUAAUCAUAAAAAAACUGAAUAAAAUAAUAUAAAAUUGUACCCAAGGCGAAUAAAAAAAAGAAAAAUGAAAUGCAACAAAAAAGUCGUAGCAUGUGUAUUGAAAGCACAUUAUGUUAGUAAGGAUGUGCUACUAUGUUCUCUCUCUACAUACACACGCUCCCUUGUAUUUAUAUUGAAAAGGAAAUAAUAUAUAAAUGUUAUAAUAUACGAGAUGUUUACAAGCCUCACAUCAAAAACAAAAUAAUUUUUUUAUAUUAUUAUAAAGAGAAGGACCUUAUACUAAAUUUUGUGAAAUAUUCUAUAUUAUGUACUUAUACUUUUGUGCCACAAACACUACAAACCAUCUUAAAAAAGAAUUAAAUCUUUAGGAAAUAAUAAAAGAGAAUAAUUACAAAAUUAUCCCUAUUUGUUUAUGAUAUUUGUAAUUAG